AGCUUGCUACCUGACCUAGCGGCGGACGGGUGAGUAAUGCUUAGGAAUCUGCCUAUUAGUGGGGGACAACAUUCCGAAAGGAAUGCUAAUACCGCAUACGCCCUACGGGGGAAAGCAGGGGAUCUUCGGACCUUGCGCUAAUAGAUGAGCCUAAGUCAGAUUAGCUAGUUGGUGGGGUAAAGGCCUACCAAGGCGACGAUCUGUAGCGGGUCUGAGAGGAUGAUCCGCCACACUGGGACUGAGACACGGCCCAGACUCCUACGGGAGGCAGCAGUGGGGAAUAUUGGACAAUGGGCGAAAGCCUGAUCCAGCCAUGCCGCGUGUGUGAAGAAGGCCUUUUGGUUGUAAAGCACUUUAAGCGAGGAGGAGGCUACUUGGAUUAAUACUCUAGGAUAGUGGACGUUACUCGCAGAAUAAGCACCGGCUAACUCUGUGCCAGCAGCCGCGGUAAUACAGAGGGUGCGAGCGUUAAUCGGAUUUACUGGGCGUAAAGCGUGCGUAGGCGGCUUUUUAAGUCGGAUGUGAAAUCCCUGAGCUUAACUUAGGAAUUGCAUUCGAUACUGGGAAGCUAGAGUAUGGGAGAGGAUGGUAGAAUUCCAGGUGUAGCGGUGAAAUGCGUAGAGAUCUGGAGGAAUACCGAUGGCGAAGGCAGCCAUCUGGCCUAAUACUGACGCUGAGGUACGAAAGCAUGGGGAGCAAACAGGAUUAGAUACCCUGGUAGUCCAUGCCGUAAACGAUGUCUACUAGCCGUUGGGGCCUUUGAGGCUUUAGUGGCGCAGCUAACGCGAUAAGUAGACCGCCUGGGGAGUACGGUCGCAAGACUAAAACUCAAAUGAAUUGACGGGGGCCCGCACAAGCGGUGGAGCAUGUGGUUUAAUUCGAUGCAACGCGAAAACCUUACCUGGUCUUGACAUAGUAAGAACUUUCCAGAGAUGGAUUGGUGCCUUCGGGAACUUACAUACAGGUGCUGCAUGGCUGUCGUCAGCUCGUGUCGUGAGAUGUUGGGUUAAGUCCCGCAACGAGCGCAACCCUUUUCCUUAUUUGCCAGCGGGUUA
rnacentral:rRNA from 1 species